rnacentral:tRNA from 1 species
CAGUAGAUAGUUUAAUUUAAAAUAUUAAUUUUGGGGAUUAAAGAUGGGUAUUACUUUUUACUGA